rnacentral:rRNA from 1 species
AACGAACGCUGGCGGCAGGCCUAACACAUGCAAGUCGAGCGCGCCCUUCGGGGUGAGCGGCGGACGGAUGAGUAACGCGUGGGAACGUGCCCUUUUCUACGGAAUAGCCUCGGGAAACUGAGAGUAAUACCGUAUACGCCCUUUGGGGGAAAGAUUUAUCGGAAAAGGAUCGGCCCGCGUUGGAUUAGGUAGUUGGUGGGGUAAUGGCCUACCAAGCCGACGAUCCAUAGCUGGUUUGAGAGGAUGAUCAGCCACACUGGGACUGAGACACGGCCCAGACUCCUACGGGAGGCAGCAGUGGGGAAUCUUAGACAAUGGGGGCAACCCUGAUCUAGCCAUGCCGCGUGAGUGAUGAAGGCCUUAGGGUUGUAAAGCUCUUUCAGCUGGGAAGAUAAUGACGGUACCAGCAGAAGAAGCCCCGGCUAACUCCGUG